UACGUAGGGUGCGAGCGUUACUCGGAAUUACUGGGCGUAAAGCGUGCGCAGGCGGUUCGUUGUGUCGGCGGUGAAAGCCCCGGGCUUAACCUGGGAAUGGCCGUUGAAACUGGCGAACUGGAGUGUGGCAGAGGGGGGUGGAAUUCCGCGUGUAGCAGUGAGAUGCGUAGAGAUGCGGAGGAACACCGAUGGCGAAGGCAGCCUCCUGGGCCAGCACUGACGCUCAUGCACGAAAGCGUGGGGAGCAAACAGG
rnacentral:rRNA from 1 species